rnacentral:rRNA from 1 species
AACGCUAGCUACAGGCUUAACACAUGCAAGUCGUGGGGCAUCAGGAAGAAAGCUUGCUUUCUUUGCUGGCGACCGGCGCACGGGUGAGUAACACGUAUCCAACCUGCCCUUUACUCGGGGAUAGCCUUUCGAAAGAAAGAUUAAUACCCGAUAGCAUAAUGAUUCCGCAUGGUUUCAUUAUUAAAGGAUUCCGGUAAAGGAUGGGGAUGCGUUCCAUUAGGUUGUUGGUGAGGUAACGGCCCACCAAGCCUUCGAUGGAUAGGGGUUCUGAGAGGAAGGUCCCCCACAUUGGAACUGAGACACGGUCCAAACUCCUACGGGAGGCAGCAGUGAGGAAUAUUGGUCAAUGGGCGCUAGCCUGAACCAGCCAAGUAGCGUGAAGGAUGAAGGCUCUAUGGGUCGUAAACUUCUUUUAUAUAAGAAUAAAGUGCAGUAUGUAUACUGUUUUGUAUGUAUUAUAUGAAUAAGGAUCGGCUAACUCCGUGCCAGCAGCCGCGGUAAUACGGAGGAUCCGAGCGUUAUCCGGAUUUAUUGGGUUUAAAGGGAGCGUAGGUGGACUGGUAAGUCAGUUGUGAAAGUUUGCGGCUCAACCGUAAAAUUGCAGUUGAUACUGUCAGUCUUGAGUACAGUAGAGGUGGGCGGAAUUCGUGGUGUAGCGGUGAAAUGCUUAGAUAUCACGAAGAACUCCGAUUGCGAAGGCAGCUCACUGGACUGCAACUGACACUGAUGCUCGAAAGUGUGGGUAUCAAACAGGAUUAGAUACCCUGGUAGUCCACACAGUAAACGAUGAAUACUCGCUGUUUGCGAUAUACAGUAAGCGGCCAAGCGAAAGCAUUAAGUAUUCCACCUGGGGAGUACGCCGGCAACGGUGAAACUCAAAGGAAUUGACGGGGGCCCGCACAAGCGGAGGAACAUGUGGUUUAAUUCGAUGAUACGCGAGGAACCUUACCCGGGCUUAAAUUGCAGUGGAAUGAUGUGGAAACAUGUCAGUGAGCAAUCACCGCUGUGAAGGUGCUGCAUGGUUGUCGUCAGCUCGUGCCGUGAGGUGUCGGCUUAAGUGCCAUAACGAGCGCAACCCUUAUCUUUAGUUACUAACAGGUUAUGCUGAGGACUCUAGAGAGACUGCCGUCGUAAGAUGUGAGGAAGGUGGGGAUGACGUCAAAUCAGCACGGCCCUUACGUCCGGGGCUACACACGUGUUACAAUGGGGGGUACAGAAGGCAGCUAGCGGGUGACCGUAUGCUAAUCCCAAAAUCCUCUCUCAGUUCGGAUCGAAGUCUGCAACCCGACUUCGUGAAGCUGGAUUCGCUAGUAAUCGCGCAUCAGCCACGGCGCGGUGAAUACGUUCCCGGGCCUUGUACACACCGCCCGUCAAGCCAUGGGAGCCGGGGGUACCUGAAGUACGUAACCGCAAGGAUCGUCCUAGGGUAAAACUGGUGAAA